UCUUGAUCGGGGUAAUCCAUGUGAUGAAUUUUGAAAAUUAAAAUACAAUGUGGAUGAUCAUAUCAGGAUUGGCAGUUAAACUCUAGGUCACCUUGAGUAUUUAGGUCAAAGGUAUGAAUUAUACGGUAACUAUAUUCAAAUAAAUUCUUGAGUAUUGCUUAGCAUACUUUCGACCUAUCCGGACAUCGGGUACCAUUGCUAGAUGGUUACUUCAAUUGAUACAAAAAUCAAUUUCUGUGCUACCGACUUAGGUUCGAACCUAUGGGGUCACACAUAUUAGAAGUUUCUCUCCGAUCACACGGC
rnacentral:lncRNA from 1 species